rnacentral:lncRNA from 1 species
AGAAUUCUAAGAUUGAGAAGAAGAAGAAGAAGAAGAAAAUAAUUUAAAAGAAGCUGUAAGAGGAAGAUGCGUCUAGUGGGUGGAUGAGGUAUGUAAGAAGCAGAGCCACCAGCAUGAGCAAGUACGCGAUCCCUUGGUCGAUUGAUGUUCCUGAACAACAAUACAAACUCGGUAAUCAUCCCGGAAAGAAAAAAUAACCAAAAAGGCAGAUUUAAAUUGAUUCUAAGGGAAGAAAACCUACCAUCGCUAGAAGGGGCAGGAGCAGGAGCAGUCGCAGGAGAUUGGGCUUCAACUGCAGGAGAGGCUAUGGCGAGUAUAAGACCCAAAAGUGCCAAGAAGCAGACAAAUACUCUUGAUGUAAUAACCUCCAUUUUUCUUGACUCUUCUCUCUUUUAAUAUUUCUUUUUUUCCGACGAAUUCCAGUAAUAUUGUGACUUAAGAGAGGAACAACAGCCAAAGGUUCGAAUUUGCGAGAGAGAAUGCGAAUGCGGGGAUCGGUGAUUUAAUUUGUAGCAGUAGUUUCUCUCUUUUUAAAUAAGGCUGGAAAUGGAAGAAGAGAGAGAGAGAGAGAGCUGAUGAUGAGGAUGAGAUAUAGAGAAAUCCAGCAAUCGAUCAAGGGUAUAAUUGUAAUUUGAUUUGUGCUUGCGUCGGGGUCCACUUAGAUUGAGGUUAGUGAUGGUUGAUUAUACGACAAGAAGGCCAUGUGACUCCCUACUAAAACUAAAGCUUCAUUCGGCUACAGACUGUCAGCCAAGUUGUCACCCAAUUCUUUUUCCUGCGAACGUGCCCCACCUACCAUUCAAAA